GGCCGCGGCAGCCGCCGAGGACGACGAGCACUCGCCGCCGCCGCCGCCGCCGGCGUACCCCACCCCCAUCUCCAUGCCCAGGCUCGCUCCUGCUUGAUCACCGCCGCGCUGCAUGCAUGUACCGACGACGACGACCCGGCGGUCGCUGCUUCGCCAAGCUCGAUCGAUGACCGGCCGGUACCCCCGGUACCCCCCUUCUCUUCUUUCCUCUUCGACUUGCUAGCCUGCUUCUUAAUUGGUCCGGCCGGUUGGUGUUCGCUCCCGCUGGUUUGCGCGCGCGCGCGCGUGCGUCCUUGGCUAUGUAUAUAUGGCGAUCGAUGAUGGCGCUAGCUUAUGGAUCAACUCGGAGGGCUGAGAGACCACACGGCCAGCGCGGGAGGAAGGAG
rnacentral:misc_RNA from 1 species